UACGUAGGGUGCAAGCGUUGUCCGGAAUUAUUGGGCGUAAAGAGCUCGUAGGCGGUUUGUCGCGUCGAAUGUGAAAACCCGGGGCUCAACCCCGGGCCUGCAUUCGAUACGGGCAGACUAGAGUUCGGUAGGGGAGUCUGGAAUUCCUGGUGUAGCGGUGAAAUGCGCAGAUAUCAGGAGGAACACCGGUGGCGAAGGCGGGGAUCUCUGGGCCGAUACUGACGCUGAGGAGCGAAAGCGUGGGGGAGCGAACAGG
rnacentral:rRNA from 1 species